ACUUGGAAAACAGACUUCCUAAAAACUAAUACAGCUCACUGUAAACAGAAGUAUUUCCCUAAGCCAGUCGCUUACUGUAUUUGAGCUGGCCAGGCUUUUGAUGUGGCUGCACUCUGACACUUGCAUUCUUUUGAAAUGGUCUUGUUCUUGUUCACCACCACUUACCAGAUGUCCCUAAUGCAGAAUGGCACUCUGGGCUCCCGGCCUUUGCACAACAACACAUUUCCCCCAUUUGGACUUCCUGUGCAUUUAUAAUAUGCAACCUCCAAUCCCAGAAGGGUCCAGGAAUCCAUAGAAUCUCAUGACUAAUUGGUUCUGUCUGUAAUCACACAAUUAAUCAAUCAAUGCUGUGGACUGUAUGAGUCUUCACACCCAGUGAGAUAGAUGUGGGUGUAUAGGACCUGCCAUCAGCUCGAGUCAGUUUUGGUCAUCUAUUUUGGUGCAGGGAACUGUGGGUAAGGAAUAUACCAUACCUAGACCCUUGCCAUUGCAUCACCAUAAUAAGGACCAUUUGGAAUCCGAAGACAUUUACUACCUGUAUGUGAGCAUUUCAUACUUAUAAAUAUACUUGGGAAAUCUUUCAAGACCUUUCAAUAUUAGAUAAUGCUCAGGAAAUGUUUUACCUAUUUUUUUCACCCCAUUCUGAUUCAUAAUUAUUAUCUUUUCCUUUUAACUUGAUUUCCCUCUGGCUUUGGAAAUAUUAACAUGUCAGAAAUUUUAAAAAUUAUCUUUAUUCCAUGUGCCAAAAUCUUGAAGGGAAAAAAAAAAUAGGUUUUUCACUUUUAAAGAUAUCAUUUUUAUCCAGUAGGGGGAGGCAGCUACAACUAAAUGUAGUUUAGGACAGAUGUUUAAAGCAAAAGUAAAUACAGACUUUAUGUUGUGGCUUCACAAUGCAUAAGCAUACAAUUUUACAUACAUGUACAUAAUGGAAGCCUCAGUGUAACCUAAUCGUGGAUGCUCUUUGUGGAAAGUCCACAAAUUUUUUUUUGAGUUGCAUAAAUACAUUUAUCUAUAGUCUUGUGUCCACUUACCUAUCACACUGUUUUGAUUUCCUUUGAAUAUAGAGUAACAAGGAUAUGCACAUGUAUGAACUUGAAUCAUGUUUGUUUUAUUUUAUUUUAUUUUUAUUCUUUACAUACAUUAUAUCCUGACCACAGUUUCUCCUACUUUCAUUCCUCCCAGUACCUCUAUCUCCCCUUUAACCCUAACUCCUAACCCUAACCC
rnacentral:lncRNA from 1 species